GCACGCUCGGACGCACGUCGCCCGGCCCAGACCGCGGCCCGCAGUCGGGGCGCCCAGGCCGCCGCAGAGGCCGCUGGGAGGCGCCCGUUGGGGCCCUGCGCGGCCGGCGCGCUCAUUCACCUAUAGUAAAAGACAUCCCUGUGGCCGGCCGACAGCCCCGACCUCCUGGGCACUUCUUCCCUUUCCCAGCCCUGCGGGAGCGCCGGGCACUCCCACCUCUUCCGCUCCAUUGCGCCCCGGCUUUUCCGCCCGCCGUGGCCGAUGCCGCCGCCGCCGCCGCUUCUGCAAGUUGCGACCCCCGGGCUCGUCGCCGAUUCGGCUCCCUCCGCCGCCGCCACUCGCCGCAGCUGUUCUGUCCCACGGGCCUCCGCCCUCCGCCCCCAGCCGGGCGCGCGCCGGCUUCGCCACCCGCUCGGCCCCCUCCCCGCGCUUCACAGCCCCCGCUAGGGGGGCCGCUCCGCCCACCCGCCCGCGCGUGGGGCUCGUCUGCGCAGGCGUGGAGUCGGCCCCGCCCCUUCGCGCUCGCAGGACCAGUCUGACUGCCGUCCAGACUCUCUGCGCAGCCGCGGCCCCGACCCAGCCUUCGCUUGCCUUCAAGACCCGCCCCAAGGCUGUGAAGCCAAUCAGAUCACUUCAGCUCCUCGGCUUAAAAUGCACAGUUGGCUACGUCCCGCCUUGCGGGAGACGCCCACAGGGCAUGGAGACCAAUCAGCGCUCAGAACCUCGUUCUGUGCUUAACUUCUCAUAUAAAUCUGCUCUGAGACAAGGACAGCCAAUCAGCGUGGCCGGGGUGGGACAACCAUUGCGUUUGCGCUCUAGACUCCGGAAGCACAGUGUGUGCUGCACCUGGUCUGUACCAAGCUGGAGCAGUUUCGCCCGAGCUGCCGUCCUGGUCCUGGGGUCGCGCUGGGCUGCACCUGCGCAGUGUGCGUUUGUCAGGGACCCGCCUGGGCUUUGUGAAAAAGAUCGAGUACAACUCGGGGCCUUCGACGCAGUCCUGCUUCCCUCUGCGUUUCGUUCUGGCCUCUCGGCUGUUCCAGCCCCAGCCUCUAUUGCGUUACUGCGAGGACAGAAAUGCACCACCACUCCCGGCUUCACCAAGAACUAUUUAAGAAGUUUGUUCUUUGCAGCAGUACUGAAAAUAGAAAGCAGAACCUUACACGUGGUAGACUUUCUGCCGUUAGGCUGCACCCCAGCCUGAGUUUGAUGGCUCACGAACCUAUUUAGAACAUUCCUGGCCAGCCUGGGCCACACAGCAAUACCCUAAAAUCAGGCCAGGAAUAGUGGCACGUGCUUGCCAUCUCAGCACUGGGAUAGUGGAGGAAGGAGGAUCAAGCACUUCAAGACCAGCUUGGAGUUUACUAGAUCCAGCAUCAGAAGGAAGAACAAAACCAAAAACUGGUUUCUAAGUUAGUGAAUGGAGUCACUCGCACUAUCGCCCCUUGUCUACCGCAGCCCUGAGGACAGGGAGCUGGGGGGUCACUUACUCCUGCUUGGUACUGUCGGCUGCUUUGCCACUCAGGCCCAGCCAGACUUACCCAGGGAACAUGCCUGAAGGCCAACUACCUUCUCACCCAGGCUUCCAUUAUACAGUACCUGGAAGACCUCUCUUUGAAAGGGGACCCUCCCUGACAAGGAGAGCUGCCAAGGGAUCAUGAGGUGAAAUCACAACACAUUUAAAGAUCUUUGUCUUGCCUGCAAUUUUUGGAGCUCAGGAACUGUAUUUUAUGAGCUAGGAUUUGGGUCCCCAGAUCAGGAGGAGAGAUCAGAUCACAGUGAAGAAGGUCAGGGGGACAUGGAGGCUGGGAUUAGUGUUUUGUAUUUUUGAGUCAGAGUCUGACUUUGUAGCUUUCCCUGGCCUUGAACUCCGAGAUCCUUCUGCCCCCUGCUUCCCAGGUGCUGGGAUUAAGCCAGGCUUGGUGUCUGACAGAUUUUUGCAUGUGAGAAUGGCAGCAGAAAAUUGACACUGGGGUUCUCAAUUCUCUAUUUUUGAAUUUUAAAAAUCUGUGCCUCUUACCAUCCAGAACCAUCUAACUUCCCCAGACUGGGUCUCUCAGCUUGUAGCUUACUGCUUUAUCUGGGCUGGCAGGAAGGGAGGUCUCAGACAUGCAGCCUCCGGGCAAGGAAGUUCAGGCUCUCACGCGUGUUUGCCAAGCUGGUUACUCAACUGUCUUUCUCCUUCCAUCUUUUUUAUUCUUAAACCAAUAAGGGGUUUUAAGUGGCCCAGGAUGUCCUGAACCUUGCUAUGUAGCUGGGGUGACAGUUAUGAAGUGCUGGAGAUGGACCAAGAGCCUUGUACACCCUAAAGGAGCUCCAUCCCUAGCCGUUUCUGAUCUUGACAACUUUCCUGAGUUUAUCUUACUGUGUGAAUAGGUCAGAGCUUGCGCUCAGGUAUGAUGGUGUGGUGGUUUGAAUAUGGUUGGCCCAAGGAGUGGCACUAUUAGGAAGUGUGGCCUUGUUGGAGAGUGUCACUGGAGGGGUGGGCUUUGAGAGACCCUCCACCUAGCUGCCUGGAAAUCAGUCUUCUCCAAGCUGACUUCUGAUCAAGAUGUAGAACUCUUAGCUCCUUCUCGGGCACCACAACUGCCUGGAUGCUGUCAUUCGACCUUGAUGAUAAUGGACUGAACCUCUGAACCUGUAAGCCAGCUCCAAUUAAAUGUUGUCCUUAUAAGA